rnacentral:rRNA from 1 species
GAGUUUGAUCCUGGCUCAGGAUGAACGCCGGCGGUGUGCCUAAUACAUGCAAGUCGUACGCACUGGCCCAACUGAUUGAUGGUGCUUGCACCUGAUUGACGAUGGAUCACCAGUGAGUGGCGGACGGGUGAGUAACACGUAGGUAACCUGCCCCGGAGCGGGGAUAACAUUUGGGAACAGAUGCUAAUACCGCAUAACAACAAAGGCCACAUGGCUUUUGUUUGAAAGAUGGCUUUGGCCAUCACUCUGGGAUGGACCUGCGGUGCAUUAGCUAGUUGGUAAGGUAACGGCUUACCAAGGCGAUGAUGCAUAGCCGAGUUGAGAGACUGAUCGGCCACAAUGGAACUGAGACACGGUCCAUACUCCUACGGGAGGCAGCAGUAGGGAAUCUUCCACAAUGGGCGCAAGCCUGAUGGAGCAACACCGCGUGAGUGAAGAAGGGUUUCGGCUCGUAAAGCUCUGUUGUUGGAGAAGAACGUGCGUGAGAGU